AACUAUAUUACUUUGGUUUAAAAAUUUCUCGUGGCAAUAAGUUAAUAGAUAGAAAUUCAAACAUUUCUUCUUCUUCUUCUUCUUCUCUCUAUUCUUCCUAACUUCAUGAAGACAUUCUUGAUUUUGGAUACAGUAUAUGAUAUCUGAGCAAAAUAAUUCAACCUGAACGGAUUGAGAAGCUUACAUGACGGAUUAAUCGUAGUUUGUGUGUGUAUGAGGAGGAUAUUGGACUUGUGCCAAACAGUCGCUGUUUUGAACCCUCUAGAAGCACCAUCUUCAUCUCUCCGAUUUCAAAACGAAUAGAGUUUCCACUAGUAAAAUGGUAGAGAUGUGUUAGAGGUUACGCACUCAACGAUGGACAUAAAUCAUUGAAUGAAUGGCUGGCUGUCCACAACACGCAUCCUGUUUCUAAACCCACAAGUGCUGCCAACCUCUCCAAGAUGGAAUAUUUGAAGGAUUUUUGUACAUCGGUUUGCCUAAAUGCACACUCGCAGUAUUUUCAUUUGGGGGAAAAAUUUACAUUUUUUUCUCCCCUACAUAUUUUUUUUUACGAUUUAAGAGUAUAUUUUAUUUAUUUUACGGUUUUUAUUUUAACCAAAGAAACAUGUUUCGGGAUGAUUUUAAAUCUCGCUACACGCGACUUGUAUUUAUAAGAUUUUUAGUAGUUUAAACUAAAAAAUUGUAUAUAUAAAAACAACUUAAAUGCUUAGUGUGAACG
rnacentral:lncRNA from 1 species